AUUGAACGCUGGCGGCAGGCCUAACACAUGCAAGUCGAGCGGCGCGGCGGACGCGGACGUAAUGCUUAGGUAUCUGACUCUGCCUGGGGGAUAACGUUCGGAAAUGGGCGCUAAUGCCGCUACCUAUCACAUGAGCCUAGGUGGGAUUAGCUUGUUGGUGGGGUAAAGGCCUACCAAGGCGACGACCCGUAACUGGUCUGAGAGGAUGAUCAGCCACACUGGAACUGAGACACGGUCCAGACUCCUACGGGAGGCAGCAGUGGGGAAUAUUGGACAAUGGGCGAAAGCCUGAUGCAGCCAUGCCGCGUGUAUGAAGAAGGUCUUCGGGUUGUAAAGUACUUUUGGCAGAGAAGCGGUAUCUGCAGAAUAAGCACCGGCUAACUACGUGCCAGCAGCCGCGGUAAUUC
rnacentral:rRNA from 1 species